rnacentral:rRNA from 1 species
GACGUAGGAUGCAAGCGUUGUCCGGAUUUAUUGGGCGUAAAGAGUUCGUAGGUGGUUUGUUAAGUCUGAUGUUAAAGACUGGGGCUCAACCUCGGAAAUGCAUUGGAUACUGGCAGACUUGAGUGUGGUAGAGGCAAGCGGAAUUCCAGGUGUAGCGGUGAAAUGCGUAGAUAUCUGGAAGAACACCGGUGGCGCAAGCGGCUUGCUGGGCCAUAACUGACACUGAGGAACGAAAGCUAGGGGAGCGAAUGGG